CCUACGGGAGGCAGCAGUCGGGAAUUUUGCGCAAUGGGCGAAAGCCUGACGCAGCAACGCCGCGUGAGGGAUGAAGGCCUUCGGGUUGUAAACCUCUUUUCUCAGGGAAGAUAAUGACGGUACCUGAGGAAUAAGCCACGGC
rnacentral:rRNA from 1 species